rnacentral:rRNA from 1 species
GACGAACGCUGGCGGCGUGCCUAAUACAUGCAAGUAGAACGCUGAAGAGAGGAGCUUGCUCUUCUUGGAUGAGUUGCGAACGGGUGGGUAACGCGUAGGUAACCUGCCUUGUAGCGGGGGAUAACUAUUGGAAACGAUAGCUAAUACCGCAUAACAAUGGAUGACACAUGUCAUUUAUUUGAAAGGGGCAAUUGCUCCACUACAAGAUGGACCUGCGUUGUAUUAGCUAGUAGGUGAGGUAAUGGCUCACCUAGGCGACGAUACAUAGCCGACCUGAGAGGGUGAUCGACCACACUGGGACUGAGACACGGCCCAGACUCCUACGGGAGGCAGCAGUAGGGAAUCUUCGGCAAUGGGGGCAACCCUGACCGAGCAACGCCGCGUGAGUGAAGAAGGUUUUCGGAUCGUAAAGCUCUGUUGUAGGUCAAGAACGGGUGUGAGAGUGGAAAGUUCACACUGUGACGGUAGCUUACCAGAAAGGGACGGCUAACUACGUG